AGUUGCAAUGAGCAAGGGCUGCUCUCCAUUUGCGGUGUGCGGGCUUCUCAUUACAGUGACUUCUCUUGUUGCAGAGCACGGGCUCU